CCCUUAGAUGUUCUGGGCAGCACGCGCGCUACACUGAUAUGCUCAAACAGUUGUCCUUGCUUGGAAAAAUUUGGUAAUCCUCCAAAGCACAUCGUGAUGGGGAUCGAUUUUUGCAAUUUUGAAUCUUGAACGAGGAAUUCCUAGUAAGCUUGAUUCAUCAGCUCAUGCUGAUUGCGUCCCUGCCCUUUGUACACACCGCCCGUCGCUCCUACCGGUUGAAUGAUCCGGUGAAUGUUUUGGAAAUUGUGAGCAAUCAGUGUUUUGGAGGCUGCUUUAAGACAUAUGAACCUUAUUGUUUAGAGGAAGGAGAAGUCGUAACA
rnacentral:rRNA from 1 species